UCACGUUUUUCAACUAUUAAAUUCUUCUUCUUCCUGACCGGAACUUCGACGAACCUUUCAUUUUCAAUCUACCUCCCGGUCACAAACUUCUUUCCUAAACACAAUGCAUCGAAACGGCUUCGUGGACGUCUCGUACCACCGUCAUCCUACGUCAUACCGAACUUCAAAUCACUCACAAACCAAGAAGAUCUGGAACUACCGGCAAAAACUAGCACGCAUCAAAAACCAUUUUAUUUCCUGAGGAUGGUCGGCAGGGCCCGGCCGAAACGUCGAUUUUGUAUAUUCACGUUUUUCAACUAUUAAAUUCUUCUUCUUCCUGACCGGAACUUCGACGAACCUUUCAUUUUCAAUCUACCUCCCGGUCACAAACUUCUUUCCUAAACACAAUGCAUCGAAACGGCUUCGUGGACGUCUCGUACCACCGUCAUCCUACGUCAUACCGAACUUCAAAUCACUCACAAACCAAGAAGAUCUGGAACUACCGGCAAAAACUAGCACGCAUCAAAAACCAUUUUAUUUCCUGAGGAUGGUCGGCAGGGCCCGGCCGAAACGUCGAUUUUGUAUAUUCACGUUUUUCAACUAUUAAAUUCUUCUUCUUCCUGACCGGAACUUCGACGAACCUUUCAUUUUCAAUCUACCUCCCGGUCACAAACUUCUUUCCUAAACACAAUGCAUCGAAACGGCUUCGUGGACGUCUCGUACCACCGUCAUCCUACGUCAUACCGAACUUCAAAUCACUCACAAACCAAGAAGAUCUGGAACUACCGGCAAAAACUAGCACGCAUCAAAAACCAUUUUAUUUCCUGAGGAUGGUCGGCAGGGCCCGGCCGAAACGUCGAUUUUGUAUAUUCACGUUUUUCAACUAUUAAAUUCUUCUUCUUCCUGACCGGAACUUCGACGAACCUUUCAUUUUCAAUCUACCUCCCGGUCACAAACUUCUUUCCUAAACACAAUGCAUCGAAACGGCUUCGUGGACGUCUCGUACCACCGUCAUCCUACGUCAUACCGAACUUCAAAUCACUCACAAACCAAGAAGAUCUGGAACUACCGGCAAAAACUAGCACGCAUCAAAAACCAUUUUAUUUCCUGAGGAUGGUCGGCAGGGCCCGGCCGAAACGUCGAUUUUGUAUAUUCACGUUUUUCAACUAUUAAAUUCUUCUUCUUCCUGACCGGAACUUCGACGAACCUUUCAUUUUCAAUCUACCUCCCGGUCACAAACUUCUUUCCUAAACACAAUGCAUCGAAACGGCUUCGUGGACGUCUCGUACCACCGUCAUCCUACGUCAUACCGAACUUCAAAUCACUCACAAACCAAGAAGAUCUGGAACUACCGGCAAAAACUAGCACGCAUCAAAAACCAUUUUAUUUCCUGAGGAUGGUCGGCAGGGCCCGGCCGAAACGUCGAUUUUGUAUAUUCACGUUUUUCAACUAUUAAAUUCUUCUUCUUCCUGACCGGAACUUCGACGAACCUUUCAUUUUCAAUCUACCUCCCGGUCACAAACUUCUUUCCUAAACACAAUGCAUCGAAACGGCUUCGUGGACGUCUCGUACCACCGUCAUCCUACGUCAUACCGAACUUCAAAUCACUCACAAACCAAGAAGAUCUGGAACUACCGGCAAAAACUAGCACGCAUCAAAAACCAUUUUAUUUCCUGAGGAUGGUCGGCAGGGCCCGGCCGAAACGUCGAUUUUGUAUAUUCACGUUUUUCAACUAUUAAAUUCUUCUUCUUCCUGACCGGAACUUCGACGAACCUUUCAUUUUCAAUCUACCUCCCGGUCACAAACUUCUUUCCUAAACACAAUGCAUCGAAACGGCUUCGUGGACGUCUCGUACCACCGUCAUCCUACGUCAUACCGAACUUCAAAUCACUCACAAACCAAGAAGAUCUGGAACUACCGGCAAAAACUAGCACGCAUCAAAAACCAUUUUAUUUCCUGAGGAUGGUCGGCAGGGCCCGGCCGAAACGUCGAUUUUGUAUAUUCACGUUUUUCAACUAUUAAAUUCUUCUUCUUCCUGACCGGAACUUCGACGAACCUUUCAUUUUCAAUCUACCUCCCGGUCACAAACUUCUUUCCUAAACACAAUGCAUCGAAACGGCUUCGUGGACGUCUCGUACCACCGUCAUCCUACGUCAUACCGAACUUCAAAUCACUCACAAACCAAGAAGAUCUGGAACUACCGGCAAAAACUAGCACGCAUCAAAAACCAUUUUAUUUCCUGAGGAUGGUCGGCAGGGCCCGGCCGAAACGUCGAUUUUGUAUAUUCACGUUUUUCAACUAUUAAAUUCUUCUUCUUCCUGACCGGAACUUCGACGAACCUUUCAUUUUCAAUCUACCUCCCGGUCACAAACUUCUUUCCUAAACACAAUGCAUCGAAACGGCUUCGUGGACGUCUCGUACCACCGUCAUCCUACGUCAUACCGAACUUCAAAUCACUCACAAACCAAGAAGAUCUGGAACUACCGGCAAAAACUAGCACGCAUCAAAAACCAUUUUAUUUCCUGAGGAUGGUCGGCAGGGCCCGGCCGAAACGUCGAUUUUGUAUAUUCACGUUUUUCAACUAUUAAAUUCUUCUUCUUCCUGACCGGAACUUCGACGAACCUUUCAUUUUCAAUCUACCUCCCGGUCACAAACUUCUUUCCUAAACACAAUGCAUCGAAACGGCUUCGUGGACGUCUCGUACCACCGUCAUCCUACGUCAUACCGAACUUCAAAUCACUCACAAACCAAGAAGAUCUGGAACUACCGGCAAAAACUAGCACGCAUCAAAAACCAUUUUAUUUCCUGAGGAUGGUCGGCAGGGCCCGGCCGAAACGUCGAUUUUGUAUAUUCACGUUUUUCAACUAUUAAAUUCUUCUUCUUCCUGACCGGAACUUCGACGAACCUUUCAUUUUCAAUCUACCUCCCGGUCACAAACUUCUUUCCUAAACACAAUGCAUCGAAACGGCUUCGUGGACGUCUCGUACCACCGUCAUCCUACGUCAUACCGAACUUCAAAUCACUCACAAACCAAGAAGAUCUGGAACUACCGGCAAAAACUAGCACGCAUCAAAAACCAUUUUAUUUCCUGAGGAUGGUCGGCAGGGCCCGGCCGAAACGUCGAUUUUGUAUAUUCACGUUUUUCAACUAUUAAAUUCUUCUUCUUCCUGACCGGAACUUCGACGAACCUUUCAUUUUCAAUCUACCUCCCGGUCACAAACUUCUUUCCUAAACACAAUGCAUCGAAACGGCUUCGUGGACGUCUCGUACCACCGUCAUCCUACGUCAUACCGAACUUCAAAUCACUCACAAACCAAGAAGAUCUGGAACUACCGGCAAAAACUAGCACGCAUCAAAAACCAUUUUAUUUCCUGAGGAUGGUCGGCAGGGCCCGGCCGAAACGUCGAUUUUGUAUAUUCACGUUUUUCAACUAUUAAAUUCUUCUUCUUCCUGACCGGAACUUCGACGAACCUUUCAUUUUCAAUCUACCUCCCGGUCACAAACUUCUUUCCUAAACACAAUGCAUCGAAACGGCUUCGUGGACGUCUCGUACCACCGUCAUCCUACGUCAUACCGAACUUCAAAUCACUCACAAACCAAGAAGAUCUGGAACUACCGGCAAAAACUAGCACGCAUCAAAAACCAUUUUAUUUCCUGAGGAUGGUCGGCAGGGCCCGGCCGAAACGUCGAUUUUGUAUAUUCACGUUUUUCAACUAUUAAAUUCUUCUUCUUCCUGACCGGAACUUCGACGAACCUUUCAUUUUCAAUCUACCUCCCGGUCACAAACUUCUUUCCUAAACACAAUGCAUCGAAACGGCUUCGUGGACGUCUCGUACCACCGUCAUCCUACGUCAUACCGAACUUCAAAUCACUCACAAACCAAGAAGAUCUGGAACUACCGGCAAAAACUAGCACGCAUCAAAAACCAUUUUAUUUCCUGAGGAUGGUCGGCAGGGCCCGGCCGAAACGUCGAUUUUGUAUAUUCACGUUUUUCAACUAUUAAAUUCUUCUUCUUCCUGACCGGAACUUCGACGAACCUUUCAUUUUCAAUCUACCUCCCGGUCACAAACUUCUUUCCUAAACACAAUGCAUCGAAACGGCUUCGUGGACGUCUCGUACCACCGUCAUCCUACGUCAUACCGAACUUCAAAUCACUCACAAACCAAGAAGAUCUGGAACUACCGGCAAAAACUAGCACGCAUCAAAAACCAUUUUAUUUCCUGAGGAUGGUCGGCAGGGCCCGGCCGAAACGUCGAUUUUGUAUAUUCACGUUUUUCAACUAUUAAAUUCUUCUUCUUCCUGACCGGAACUUCGACGAACCUUUCAUUUUCAAUCUACCUCCCGGUCACAAACUUCUUUCCUAAACACAAUGCAUCGAAACGGCUUCGUGGACGUCUCGUACCACCGUCAUCCUACGUCAUACCGAACUUCAAAUCACUCACAAACCAAGAAGAUCUGGAACUACCGGCAAAAACUAGCACGCAUCAAAAACCAUUUUAUUUCCUGAGGAUGGUCGGCAGGGCCCGGCCGAAACGUCGAUUUUGUAUAUUCACGUUUUUCAACUAUUAAAUUCUUCUUCUUCCUGACCGGAACUUCGACGAACCUUUCAUUUUCAAUCUACCUCCCGGUCACAAACUUCUUUCCUAAACACAAUGCAUCGAAACGGCUUCGUGGACGUCUCGUACCACCGUCAUCCUACGUCAUACCGAACUUCAAAUCACUCACAAACCAAGAAGAUCUGGAACUACCGGCAAAAACUAGCACGCAUCAAAAACCAUUUUAUUUCCUGAGGAUGGUCGGCAGGGCCCGGCCGAAACGUCGAUUUUGUAUAUUCACGUUUUUCAACUAUUAAAUUCUUCUUCUUCCUGACCGGAACUUCGACGAACCUUUCAUUUUCAAUCUACCUCCCGGUCACAAACUUCUUUCCUAAACACAAUGCAUCGAAACGGCUUCGUGGACGUCUCGUACCACCGUCAUCCUACGUCAUACCGAACUUCAAAUCACUCACAAACCAAGAAGAUCUGGAACUACCGGCAAAAACUAGCACGCAUCAAAAACCAUUUUAUUUCCUGAGGAUGGUCGGCAGGGCCCGGCCGAAACGUCGAUUUUGUAUAUUCACGUUUUUCAACUAUUAAAUUCUUCUUCUUCCUGACCGGAACUUCGACGAACCUUUCAUUUUCAAUCUACCUCCCGGUCACAAACUUCUUUCCUAAACACAAUGCAUCGAAACGGCUUCGUGGACGUCUCGUACCACCGUCAUCCUACGUCAUACCGAACUUCAAAUCACUCACAAACCAAGAAGAUCUGGAACUACCGGCAAAAACUAGCACGCAUCAAAAACCAUUUUAUUUCCUGAGGAUGGUCGGCAGGGCCCGGCCGAAACGUCGAUUUUGUAUAUUCACGUUUUUCAACUAUUAAAUUCUUCUUCUUCCUGACCGGAACUUCGACGAACCUUUCAUUUUCAAUCUACCUCCCGGUCACAAACUUCUUUCCUAAACACAAUGCAUCGAAACGGCUUCGUGGACGUCUCGUACCACCGUCAUCCUACGUCAUACCGAACUUCAAAUCACUCACAAACCAAGAAGAUCUGGAACUACCGGCAAAAACUAGCACGCAUCAAAAACCAUUUUAUUUCCUGAGGAUGGUCGGCAGGGCCCGGCCGAAACGUCGAUUUUGUAUAUUCACGUUUUUCAACUAUUAAAUUCUUCUUCUUCCUGACCGGAACUUCGACGAACCUUUCAUUUUCAAUCUACCUCCCGGUCACAAACUUCUUUCCUAAACACAAUGCAUCGAAACGGCUUCGUGGACGUCUCGUACCACCGUCAUCCUACGUCAUACCGAACUUCAAAUCACUCACAAACCAAGAAGAUCUGGAACUACCGGCAAAAACUAGCACGCAUCAAAAACCAUUUUAUUUCCUGAGGAUGGUCGGCAGGGCCCGGCCGAAACGUCGAUUUUGUAUAUUCACGUUUUUCAACUAUUAAAUUCUUCUUCUUCCUGACCGGAACUUCGACGAACCUUUCAUUUUCAAUCUACCUCCCGGUCACAAACUUCUUUCCUAAACACAAUGCAUCGAAACGGCUUCGUGGACGUCUCGUACCACCGUCAUCCUACGUCAUACCGAACUUCAAAUCACUCACAAACCAAGAAGAUCUGGAACUACCGGCAAAAACUAGCACGCAUCAAAAACCAUUUUAUUUCCUGAGGAUGGUCGGCAGGGCCCGGCCGAAACGUCGAUUUUG